rnacentral:lncRNA from 1 species
GAAGGUCAGCGCAGUCCCGGAUGAGGACGAGUAGAACGGUAACGGCCAUGGGGCGGUUGGCCUUCCUUCUACCAGACCUUGAUGUGGGAAGAGAGAAAUGGAGUAACAAGCCACAUUUGGCGCUUUGGAGAUGCCCACCACGCUUUGGGAAGAUGUACCAGCGUUUAUAGAAGGCCCGAGUGUAUAAGAGAUUUCUAAAAGAGAUGUUCUGAUUAUUCAAAGACUCUCUACUCAGAAAUGCCAAAAUGUGAGAAAUCAACAUGAGGACCACAGCAGAAGGAAACAGAGAAUGGAGAAGGGAACCAGGCAGCAAUUCAACAAAUAUUCCUUGGGCAUCUCUGCGCUACCAGAGGUCGCUGCGGUGAGCACCACGGGUCUGAGUGCCAGCGAUGGUUUAUCACGGUGACAGGAAAACACAGACCAGCAGCAUCUACUCCAGCACUACUCACACUGUGGAACUCUUUUCACCGUGAUGCCAGAUAACUAGGUCUCACAGGGCACAUAUGGGCAGGAAGUUUCUAUGGAAGAAAUGAUCCCUCUGGAUUCUGCAAAGGAGUCUUUAGGCACCCAGCUUCAGUCUAUGGAAGAUAGAAUGGAAUGUGAAUCUCCAGAGCCACACCCACUUCAAGAUAAUGGGUCAUUUUUGUGGUUUUCCAUGAUGUCUCAAAGCAUGGGUGGUGAUAACCUCAGUAGCUUAGAUACUAAUGAAGCAGAAAUUGAACCAGAAAACAUGAGAGAAAAGUUCUUCAGAAGCU